rnacentral:tRNA from 5 species
GCAAAUGUGGCAGAGUGGCUGAAUGCGGCUCCCCGCUAAGGAGUUGGCCGGGUAACCGGCCCGAAGGUUCGAAUCCUUCCAUUUGCG